CUCGUCUCUGUUUCAAGUUUUCUGCAAACUUGGCUGAAAGCUCUGUUUGUUCUAUUAUACACGACGAUAGCAGACAGCAGAGUACAAUCUGAAGAGAAACACAAAGAGAAGAAAAGAAAGCUAAGAGAAUAUGAAGAGAAGGAAAUAGAUAGAAGACUUUGCGUAUCGAUCUUCCAGAGGAGAAAGAAGCAGUAGCAGAAGACGAAUCAGAAGUUUCAAAGAGGACCUUGAAAAAAAUCUAGGCUUGAUUUUAUUUAUCCAAAGCAAAGAAUAUGAACUUCAAAGAUUUCGAUCCUCACGAUUGUGAUUGAACUGAAUAAGUGAAAAAUGCAGUGGAAAA